rnacentral:rRNA from 1 species
CGAGCGUUGUCCGGAAUCACUGGGCGUAAAGGGCGCGUAGGCGGCCUGAUAAGUCGGGGGUGAAAUCCUGCGGCUUAACCGCAGGGCUGCCUUCUAAACUGUCAGGCUUGAGCACAGUAGAGGCAGGUGGAAUUUCCGGUGUAGCGGUGGAAUGCGUAGAGAUCGGGAAGAACAUCAGUGGCGAAGGCGGCCUGCUGGGCUGUUGCUGACGCUGAGGCGCGAAAGCGUGGGGAGCAAACAGG